rnacentral:tRNA from 3 species
UCCUCGGUAGCUCAAUGGUAGAGCACCUGGCUGUUAACCAGGGUGUUGCAGGUUCGAGUCCUGCCCGAGGAGCCA